rnacentral:rRNA from 1 species
UACGUAGGGACCAAGCGUUGUUCGGAUUUACUGGGCGUAAAGGGCGCGUAGGCGGCGCGGUAAGUCACUUGUGAAAUCUCUGAGCUUAACUCAGAACGGCCAAGUGAUACUGCAGUGCUAGAGUGUGGAAGGGGCAAUCGGAAUUCUUGGUGUAGCGGUGAAAUGCGUAGAUAUCAAGAGGAACACCUGAGGUGAAGACGGGUUGCUGGGCCUUACCUGACGCUGAGGAGCGAAAGCGUGGGGAGCGAACAGG